rnacentral:lncRNA from 2 species
GCCGCCGCAGCGAAGAGGCCAUGUUGUGUGGUGUGUGGGGCGGGGGGAGGAGGAGGAGGGAGUAAAGCCUAGAGAGGAGACGGGAGAGAGACACCACACACACGGCACAAGAUGGCCGGAGAGGCAGCAGCACCCCGAGCUGUCAGGCGUUCCGCCGCGGCCGCGAGGCCCGCCGGCCGGCGGGGAGCUACGCCCGGACGGCCAGCAGGCCCGCGGGAGUGGGGCUGCCGCGGCUGAGGCGAGGCGGGCCGCGCGCGUCGGCGUCACAGCCCGCGGCAGAGGCGCCCAGGGCGGCCGGGCCCACGACGCCGAAAGCGCCGCUGCGGUUGCCGCCUCGGAGGCUCCCCCGGGCCCCGGCGGCUGGACCCGGCGCGGGCGGGAGGCUCGGGCGGGCGGUCCGGCCCGGGACUCGGGUUUGGGCGACCAGGAGGUGCCGGUGGCCGCGCUCGGACCCGGUUCUCCAACGGAGGAGCUUUUUAACCUCUUUCCGGUGAGGUGGGAACUCAUCUUCAUGAUCGAAUUUAAAAGAACAAUGGAACCCUGACUACGUUUCAACAAAAAUAAAACUUGUUUUUUUCCCUCCUAUUGGGUGUUGGCUUUUAACUCUUUCAAAGCCGAUUUUGAAACGGCUGCAGUGAUACAUGCGAAGGUACUUGCUGCUUAUUAAACCUUUAUGACGUUAAGGUUGUCUUUGAAAAAUGCAAGUUGGAGGAGUGCUUCUGGUAUUUCAGA